UACGUAGGCAGCAAACGUUGUUCGGAAUUACUGGGCGUAAAGAGUGUGUAGGCGGUUUUGUAAGUUUGGUGUGAAAUCUCCCGGCUUAACUGGGAGGGUGCGCCGAAAACUGCAAGGCUUGAGUGCUGGAGAGGAUAGCGGAAUUCCUGGUGUAGCGGUGAAAUGCGUAGAUAUCAGGAGGAACACCGGCGGUGUAGACGGCUAUCUGGACAGUAACUGACGCUGAGACACGAAAGCGUGGGGAGCAAACAGG
rnacentral:rRNA from 1 species